AGAGAGUGAGCGAGAGAGAGAGCAGAGCAGGGGCAGGGGGAGAGGGAGAAGCAGACCCCCGCUCAACAGGGAGCCCAGUGCAGGGCUUAAUCCCAGGACCCCGGGAUCAUGACCUGAGCCAAAUGGCAGACACUUAACCAACUGAGCCUCCCAGGUGCCCCAACAGGAUGUAAAUCUUUAGAUUAACAAUAUAAAAUAGUAAUGUAACAAGGCUCAAAUUUCAAAAGGGCAUUAUGAGAAUCUAAGCUCAACUUUUACCUAAAGAAUUAUUAAUUCCAUAAAUAUUUGUGAUAUGCUUGCCUACUGUAUACCAGGCAUUAUGCCAGUGAUUAAAAAAAAAAGAAAGAAAGAAAGAAAGAAAGAAAAGAAAAGAAAAGAAAGCCCAAAGAAGCAGUACUGAAAAGGACAUGGUGCUCAAGGAGCUUACCUUGGGAACAAUAAGACAUGUGGAAGCAAAUGGAGUCAUUCUAAUUCGACAAGUUUCGUUGCCCCCAUCUGAAUGGGAGAGGAAAGGAAUCCAGUUUCAGUGGUUUCUGGGCCUUCCCGCACCUCUCCAAGUUUUCACAGGAUCCGGAAACUUUAUGUGGCCCCAGGACGCAAGGAGUGACCCUCUACUCUCCCAUGCAUCAUGGUCACUGUAAGUCCCCUGAUCCAUGGCUCUUGGCUUCUGUUCUGUGCCUGGCAAGAGGCCUAUGCCUCUUCUUCCCUCUUCUCUUUAUUCUAUCUUCAAACUGAAAUCUGCCCGCAGUCAUGAUUGCCAUGAGCAGAAAGCUACCUGGCUUACUCUGUUAAUCAUAUGAGCCAUCUUUCCACUGGUUUUGAAGUUCUCGUUGUUACUGAGGAAGCAGUCAAUAGACAAUAAUUUUCCCU
rnacentral:lncRNA from 1 species